rnacentral:rRNA from 1 species
GAUGAACGCUGGCGGCGUGCCUAAUACAUGCAAGUCGAACGAAACUUCUUUAUCACCGAGUGCUUGCACUCACCGAUAAAGAGUUGAGUGGCGAACGGGUGAGUAACACGUGGGCAACCUGCCCAAAAGAGGGGGAUAACACUUGGAAACAGGUGCUAAUACCGCAUAACCAUAGUUACCGCAUGGUAACUAUGUAAAAGGUGGCUAUACUACCGCUUUUGGAUGGGCCCGCGGCGCAUUAGCUAGUUGAUAGGGUAAAGGCUUACCAAGGCAAUGAUGCGUAGCCGAACUGAGAGGUUGAUCGGCCACAUUGGGACUGAGACACGGCCCAAACUCCUACGGGAGGCAGCAGUAGGGAAUCUUCCACAAAGGGCGAAAGCCUGAUGGAGCAACGCCGCGUGGGUGAAGAAGGUCUUCGGAUCGUAAAACCCUGUUGUUAGAGAAGAAAGUGCGUGAGAGUAACUGUUCACGUUUCGACGGUAUCUAACCAGAAAGCCACUGCUAACUACGUG